GACGAACGCUUGCGGCGUGCUUAACACAUGCAAGUCGAACGGAAAGGCCCCCACCUUGGUGGGGGUGCUCGAGUGGCGAACGGGUGAGUAACACGUGGGUGAUCUGCCCUGUACUUCGGGAUAAGCUUGGGAAACUGGGUCUAAUACCGGAUAGGACCAUGGUUUAGUGUCUCAUGGUGGAAAAAUUAUUGUUUUGGUGCAGGAUGAGCUCGCGGCCUAUCAGCUUGUUGGUGGGGUAAUGGCCUACCAAGGCGUCGACGGGUAGCCGGCCUGAGAGGGUGGACGGCCACAUUGGGACUGAGAUACGGCCCAGACUCCUACGGGAGGCAGCAGUGGGGAAUAUUGCACAAUGGGCGCAAGCCUGAUGCAGCGACGCCGCGUGGGGGAUGACGGCCUUCGGGUUGUAAACUCCUUUCGUUAGGGACGAAGCCACACCUUUUUUGGGUGUGGUGACGGUACCUUUGUUAAGAAGCACCGGCUAACUACGUG
rnacentral:rRNA from 1 species